GGAGUAUGGGCCGUGUCUCAGUCCCAUUGUGGCCGUUCACCCUCUCAGGUCGGCUACACAUCCUCGCCUUGGUGGGCUGUUAUCUCACCAACUAGCUAAUGUGCCGCAGGUCCAUCCAAAAGUGUUGCAAACGCAACUUUCAAGUAAAGGAGAUGCCUCUUCUACUCAUAUCCGGUAUUAGCCAAGGCUUUCGCCUGGGUAUCCCAGUCUUAAGGGCAGGUUACCUACGUGUUACUCACCCGUUCGCCACUGAAUCGGUAUUGCUACCUCAUCCGUUCGACUUGCAUGUAUUAGGCACGCCGCCAGCGUUCAUC
rnacentral:rRNA from 1 species